rnacentral:rRNA from 1 species
UCGAGGAUCUUCGGCAAUGGGCGCAAGCCUGACCGAGCGACGCCGCGUGCGCGAUGAAGGCCUUCGGGUUGUAAAGCGCUGUCGAGGGGGAGGAAAGCCGCAAGGCCUGACCUAUCCCUGGAGGAAGCACGGGCUAAGUUCGUGCCAGCAGCCGCGGUAAGACGAACCGUGCGAACGUUGUUCGGAAUCACUGGGCUUAAAGGGCGCGUAGGCGGCGCGUCGAGUCGGGGGUGAAAGCGUUCGGCUUAACCGGACAAGGGCCCCCGAUACCGACACGCUCGAGCGAGGCAGGGGCAGACGGAACUUCCGGUGGAGCGGUGAAAUGCGUUGAUAUCGGAAGGAACGCCGGUGGCGAAAGCGGUCUGCUGGGCCUCUUCUGACGCUGAGGCGCGAAAGCCAGGGGAGCGAACGGGAUUAGAUACCCCCGUAGUCC